AUUGAACGCUGGCGGCAGGCCUAACACAUGCAAGUCGAGCGAGCGGCGGACGGGUGAGUAAUGUCUGGGGAACUGCCUGUUGGAGGGGGAUAACUACUGGAAACGGUAGCUAAUACCCCAUACCAUCAGAUGUGCCCCGAUGGGGGUAGCUAGUAGGUGGGGGAACGGCUCACCUAGGCGACGAUCCCUAGCUGGUCUGAGAGGAGGACCAGCCACACUGGAACUGAGACACGGUCCAGACUCCUACGGUAGGCAGCAGUGGGGAAUAUUGCACAAUGGGCGCAAGCCUGAUGCAGCCAUGCCGUGUGUGUGAAGAAGGCCUUCGGGUUGUAAAGCACUUUCAGCGGGGAGGCGUUACCCGCAGAAGAAGCACCGGCUAACUCCGUGCCAGCAGCCGCGGUAAUUC
rnacentral:rRNA from 1 species